rnacentral:rRNA from 1 species
GUCCACGCCCUAAACUAUGUCAACUAGUUGUCGGGGAAGCAAUUCCUUGGUAACGAAGCUAACGCGUGAAGUUGACCGCCUGGGGAGUACGGUCGCAAGAUUAAAACUCAAAGGAAUUGACGGGGGCCCGCACAAGCGGUGUAUGAUGUGGAUUAAUUCGAUGCAACGCGAAAAACCUUACCUACCCUUGACAUGCCCGGAAGCCGGAUGAUAGUUCGGUGUGCUCGAAAGAGAGCCGGGACACAGGUGCUGCAUGGCUGUCGU